UCGUUUCCAUAUAAUAUUCAUUUUUUUUAAAGUGAAUGGCGGUAAAAAAGAAAAAGCAUGACUCUCAGGUCUCAACCGCACCAUAGAAGACGAGAACGACAAAAUGAAAAAUUGAAAAAAACACAGUCCCUACUCUUCAUUCCAAAUAUGAAUCUCUCUCUCAAUUCUCCAAACAUGCAAAGCCAAUAUCCGCCAAAUCCGAACCCAAAUCCGCUAGAACGUAGGCCAUCCAACUAUUCAUCGCAAUCCGAGGUGAAAUAUUGAAUUCCAGGUGAUAUACAUCUCAUUUCGGAUUGACAAUUUGAUGGGGUCGGAGGCCGUCCAACUAUUCAUUUUUUUCACAUGAUCAUUCUCCUCCAAAUCAUUCUCCUUACCCUUCUCCACAUCUUCAGUCAUUUUCAAGUUUAACACAAGAAACUGCACAUGAGGAUAUCAGACACAAGGGGGGAGAGGGAAAAAAACAAAAAGAGGUUUACAUGAAACUACCAUCAUCAACUUUAUUCAAGACAUUUCGCCAUUUCAAGUUUCAACAAACAAGCUUCUGCAGUCAUUUAAAAAAAGAUAAAAGAAAAAGAAAAAAAUCCUGAGCCAAGCUGAAGACAUAAUGCACAACAGUUAAAGAUUUGAGUUUUACUGAGAUUUAAAAGAUUCGAUAAUCUUACCAUUACUUGGAUCUUUCCAUUAGUUUUCUCAAGAUCGAAAUGGAAAGCUUGGUAAUUUACAUAUAAUAUAUAACAAAAUGAAAGUUAUAUAUGUAUAGACAACUUUGCUUAAAAAAAAUAAUUAAUCUGAAAUUAAUUUCAAAAAUAUAAACAAACCAGCUUAAAAUCAAAUAAAGAUUGUUUCAGAAAACUCUCACGAAAUGAAAACAAAUGCUGGCUCUUCAUCAAUUCAUAUCAAAUCAAUCUAAACAUUUGACCUUAGUGAUUGACUUCAUCACUUGUGUCAUUGAAAGCAUGCCAAUUGUAGUACAUAUGUUCGAUAUUCAUCACCAUCCAGUGGAGCAAGCAAAUAAGAAAAGAGCUUUCUUUAAAGCAAAUUCAAAGUUUUAUAUAUUUGUCAUGAAGAGCAAAUGGAAACAAUAAUUAUGUAAAAGACUAAUAGCAUCACACACAUUUGAUAUACACUAUAUUCUAUAAUUCUACUUCGGAAUAUGUGAUACUUUAUCUAUAUUUUUAUAUGCGAAUCAGUUUAUUGAUAUGAUAGCACUUAGCUUCUAGUACACCUACUGUUUGGGAGCUAAUUAAUUUUCUGCCCAAAUAUAAUCUGAUAAUCAGCGAUUGAUAUAAUCAAAUCAGACAACUUCAUUAAUGCAUCUAAUAAAAAAAAAAUUUCAAUCCAAGUAACAUUUCAAUCCAAAAUUAAAUCCCCCAAGCAAGAAUUAGGAACACCUUUCCUGAAAAAUUAAGCUAUUAUUUGCUUCCAGAACAGUUACUAACAAUAACCAUUUACAACAUUAAUUAUAAUGAGUCUCUACCAAGCCCAACUUUGAUUUUUAUUUUUUCUUGACUCAAAAACAGUGACAGCUCACAAAGUACGUAAUGUAUUCUAGCAGAGUUGUAUUUUGUAUGAAGAAUUAAUUUUUGAGUCAGGAAAAAAAAUAAAAAUCAAUAUAAACUAACAAUUCAGCUAUAGUUCUGAAUGAAAUCGAACCAAUAACAUUUGUACUAAAGUAUUGGUCAAAGUUAGGCUUGGCAUGAACUAAGAAUUCAGCUAGCAAACUCUAAAAAUAUCACAACCUUUGCUGUCAUCUUUACUACUCUUCUAAAAUUUUUCUGGAACUUCACCUAAUUCCCAGUCACCACAAUCAAAUUUGCGACAACAACACACUUCAGUUUCAGAAUUGUGGUCCCUUACCCUUGGUUUAUUUGCAUGUGCCUGAUUUAUAUUUCCAUUUCUUCAUCAUCCCCAUCCAUACAUCCAUCCAUAAUCCACCACACAUUUGUUUAUCUACCCAUUUGAGAGCAAACUAUGUACAAACUUACUGUAAAGUUCCCAUUUUCUGGACUCAACACAAUUAUAAUUUUGUGAUCAUAUACUGGAAGUAAAGUAACUUGUAGCCAAAAAAGAAAUCAAAUAUCUAACUCAAAAUUUUUGAACCAUAUAUAUUUCCAGGGUGAUUGUUGGGACCAACUAAACCUAGUCCUCACUGUAACUAGACUUUAUGUUGAAAUGAUUUGUGCCAAACAAACAAAUAUACCAAAAAUAGGCUUACUUGGUGGUGGGCAUUCUGACAUGCCUCGGCUUAUGCCGAUUCUGUUCUGUGAAUGGUCACAACGGAUGGACCAAAGAAUUUGGAGGUGCUGCUCUUACAAUCUGAAAAUAUGAUUCAUUCAAAAAUAUGAGAAAUUAAUCCUAAUAUAUUUUUUAAAAAAUGCAAAGAAAAAUUGAGGAACUGAGGCAAAAUUGUGCAAAGAAAUUAAACCGCCUGAGAAGAUGGAGCAACCUAAAUUUGCUUGAUGCGGCAAAUUAAAUGAUCAGACCAAGAUGCUUGAUUUCCCAAAAGUUAAUGUCUUCAAAGUGUUGAAACUUGAAAGGAAAACACAACCCUUCAGUCAAAACCAGGAGCUAGAUUGAUUAAGAUAGCCAUUUCAUACACAUGAAAGAUAUUGCGAGGGCUAAUUUGCUUUUCUAAUAAUCUCUUUCUUAAUGAUGGUGUUUUGAGUUGCGUGGGAAUAAAGUGGGAGCAAUGAUGGGGACGGAGAGAAUAACGACAAGAGGACAUAAUUAUUGAUGUUGGCUCAACUCUGCUGGCGUUGAAAGUUGAAAGAACCAAGAGAGAGAUGAUAAAAUAGAAAAUUCAUUAUAGGGUGCACAAAAGGAAUACUGUAUCAGUUAAUAUAAAAUUGAAUGAGAGAUCUGGAACUCAAUUACUUAGCAAAUUCAAGCAAAGAAAACUAAAUUUCUUAGCAUAACAUGAAACCUUUGACUCUUCAAAGUUGGAAGCCAAGGAUUAAACUUACCUUGCACGGGCGACGACAGCCAAACCAAGAUGGAGGCAGCGAUGACAGAGACGCAGCAAUUCCAACGAGGCAGAAAAUCGACUCAACAAUGGCUGCAAUCUGCAGACGUAUCGCCGGCGCACCCAAACAGAAGUUAACGCGGCGGUGGCUGUGACUUUCUCAUUUGCAAUUCGUUAAUUAGGGAUUGAAUUUUCCCUUUAUAUUUUGUUAUUCUUUUAAAAGCCAAAUAUUUUUUUGUUUAAAUUUAUACCAGUAGAAAUUUCACUUUUAAAAUAGUUUUUAACCGGCCUAUAACCGGUUAAAUAUAAUUUAAUUAAAUUUUUUAUCACAUUAUAAUUAUUGUGAAUCGUUAAUUAAAUGUUCCCAAUAAUCACGGUAUUGAUACCGUAAUUUUAAUCACGGCAUCAUAGAAUUUUCCAUAAUAAUAAUA
rnacentral:lncRNA from 1 species